AAGCCAUGCAUGUCUAAGUAUAAGCAAUUAUACAGCGAAACUGCGAAUGGCUCAUUAUAUAAGUUAUCGUUUAUUUGAUAGCACCUUACUACUUGGAUAACCGUGGUAAUUCUAGAGCUAAUACAUGCUAAAAAUCCCGACUUCGGAAGGGAUGUAUUUAUUAGAUUAAAAACCAAUGNCCUUCGGGGCUUUCUGGUGAUUCAUGAUAACUUCUCGAAUCGCAUGGCCUUGCGCNGGCGAUGGUUCAUUCAAAUUUCUUCCCUAUCAACUUUCGAUGCGAAGGUCUUGUCUUCGCAUGGUUACAACGGGUAACGGAGGGUUAGGGCUCGACCCCGGAGAGGGAGCCUGAGAAAUGGCUACCACUUUUAAGGAAGGCAGCAGGCGCGCAAUUUACCCAAUCCCGACACGGGGAGGUAGUGACAAUAAAUACUGAUACAGGGCUCUUAUGGGUCUUGUAAUCGGAAUGAGUACAAUUUAAAUCCCUUAACGAGGAACAAUUGGAGGGCAAGUCUGGUGCCAGCAGCCGCGGUAAUUCCAGCUCCAAUAGCGUAUAUUAAAGUUGUUGUGGUUAAAAAGCUCGUAGUUGAACCUUGGGCCUGGCUGGCCGGUCCCCCUCACCGGGUGCACUGGUCCGGCCGGGUCUUUCCCUCUGUGGAACCGCAUACCCUUCACUGGGUGUGUCGGGGAAACAGGACUUUUACUUUGAAAAAAUUAGAGUGCUCCAGGCAGGCCUAUGCUCGAAUAGUACAGCAUGGAAUAAUAGAAUAGGACGUGUGGUUCUAUUUUGUUGGUUUCUAGGACCGCCGUAAUGAUUAAUAGGGACAGUCGGGGGCAUCAGUAUUCAGCUGUCAGAGGUGAAAUUCUUGGAUCUGCUGAAGACUAACUACUGCGAAAGCAUUUGCCAAGGAUGUUUUCAUUGAUAAGGAACGAAAGUUAGGGGAUCGAAGACGAUCAGAUACCGUCGUAGUCUUAACCAUAAACUAUGCCGACUAGGGAUCGGACGAUGUUAUUUUUUUUGACUCGUUCGGCACCUUUCGAGAAAG
rnacentral:rRNA from 1 species